ACCCCAUGAUAUAAGCCGGCAGUUGCAUGUAUAUCCCAACAGCAUCUGUGACUAUGAUUGGGAACAGUAAAGCUACUGAACUGUGUGUGUUGGGCUUCACGAAUUCAGCGUGCCUGACAAAGGAAUUUAUCAGACCACA